rnacentral:rRNA from 1 species
AGCGAACGCUGGCGGCAUGCCUAACACAUGCAAGUCGUGCGGGGGGUUUCGGCCCCCAGCGGCGGACGGGUGAGUAUCGCGUAGGAACGUGUCCUGAGGUGGGGAACAACCCCGGGAAACUGGGGCUAAUGCCGCAUGUCCCCUUCGGGGGAAAGCCUUCGGGCGCCUUGGGAGCGGCCUGCGUCCGAUUAGCUUGUUGGUGGGGUAACGGCCUACCAAGGCUGCGAUCGGUAGCUGGUCUGAGAGGACGAUCAGCCACACUGGGACUGAGACACGGCCCAGACUCCUACGGGAGGCAGCAGUGGGGAAUAUUGGGCAAUGGGCGAAAGCCUGACCCAGCAAUGCCGCGUGGGUGAAGAAGGUCUUCGGAUUGUAAAGCCCUUUCGGCGGGGACGAUGAUGACGGUACCCGCAGAAGAAGCCCCGGCUAACUUCGUGCCAGCCGCCGCCGUAAUAC